rnacentral:rRNA from 1 species
GCUUACAGCCAUACCACCCUGAAUGCGCCCGAUCUCGUCUGAUCUCGGAAGCUAAGCAGGGUCAGGCCUGGUUAGUACUUGGAUGGGUGACCGCCUGGGAACACCAGGUGCUGUAAGCU